UCCUUCCCGACUGACUGAUUUUUGGCCUGGCAUCCCCUUCUUCUGCAAUGCCAGAUGUAGUUAUGUCCUUUCUUGUUUUUUUAAGAAUAUCAUGUCUGACCAAAAACUUAGUGGCACUUUCUUCAUUGUGGCCAACUUCUCGAUAAAACACAGCAAGAUGAAUGGGGUUUACUGGAACAUGAUUAUUUAGAAAAGUGGUUCCCAAACUUGACCAUACCAAGGACACCCGCAUAAAAGGAGUCCCAGCCCAGGACCCCAGCCAAUCAAAAGUAUUUUCAAAUAUUUUUAAUAUUUUUAUUGCUUUAAAUUGAAUACAAAAUGAAAUUGUUGAAAGCAGCCACAAUAGAUAUUUGUGUACAGUAUAUACUGUCACCACCGUCACCACCGGUAAUAAAAGAUAUGCUAGCUAGCUGCUUGUACACCGAAGUAUCGAUAACAGACACUAGGGUAAUAGAGAAUCAGUGAUAUUUUUUGUGUAUCUUUUGUGGAGUAUAUAAAAUAUUAUUUUUAUCAUUGUCAUUGCGUCGUGGAUCUCCUAGGUUUUCACCUGGACCCCCAUAAGUCCGCGGACCCCAGUUUAGGAACUUCUGAUUUAGACAAUGCAACAUGUACUUUUGUUCAAGAAUCACUUUGGAAGUUGCUGUUAGUUUAUAAAAAAGAAUGUGAGAAUGGAGUCUGGCGUUACAGAUCUACUGUAAACACAAGUUGCCCUGCAUUGAUAGUUCAAAGGAGUACUUUAUCAGUUGAUACUUCAAUAAUUAGUGUUAAAUGUUUAAAUGUAUACUAUGA